AUCAACUUUCGAUGGUAGGAUAGAGGCCUACCAUGGUGGUAACGGGUAACGGGGUGUUAGGGCACGACACCGGAGAGGGAGCCUGAGAAACGGCUACCACAUCCAAGGAUGGCAGCAGGCGCGCAAAUUACCCAAUCCCGACACGGGGAGGUAGUGACAAUAAAUAACAAUACGGGGUUCUUUCGGAUCUUGUAAUUGGAAUGAGUACAAUUUAAAUCUCUUAACGAGGAACAAUUGGAGGGCAAGUCUGGUGCCAGCAGCCGCGGUAAUUCCAGCUCCAAUAGCGUAUAUUAAAGUUGCUGCAGUUAAAAAGCUCGUAGUUGAAUUUCGGGACCAAUAUGUCGGUCGUGCUUUUGUACGUACUGGCAUAAUUGGUUUCUCCCUUCUGAAGAACCUUGAUGUCAUUAAUUUGGUGUCUUGGGGAAUCAGGACUGUUACUUUGAAAAAAUUAGAGUGUUUAAAGCAGGCUCGCGCUUGAAUACAUUAGCAUGGAAUAAUGAAAUAGGACGUUUGAUUCUAUUUUGUUGGUUUCUAGGAUCGACGUAAUGAUUAAUAGGGAUAGUUGGGGGCAUUAGUAUUCAAUUGUCAGAGGUGAAAUUCUUGGAUUUAUUGAAGACUAACUACUGCGAAAGCAUUUGCCAAGGAUGUUUUCAUUAAUCAAGAACGAAAGUUAGGGGAUCGAAGACGAUCAGAUACCGUCGUAGUCUUAACCAUAAACUAUGCCGACUAGGGAUCGGAUGAUGUUAAUUUUUUAAUGACUCAUUCGGCGCCUUACGGGAAACCAAAGUGUUUGGGUUC
rnacentral:rRNA from 1 species